rnacentral:rRNA from 1 species
CGCGAAUGGCUCAUUACAACAGCCGUUGUUUCUUGGAUCUCUUCUCUACUUGGAUAACUGUGGUAAUUCUAGAGCUAAUACAUGCAAUCAAGCCCUGAUCGUGAGUGACGGGCGCAUUUAUUAGAACAAGACCAUCUGGCUUCGUGCCAUACGUUGGUGACUCUGAAUAACUGAGCCGAUCGCACGGGCUCGUCCCGGCGACGUAUCUUUCAAGUGUCUGCCUUAUCAGGUUUCGUUGGCGGUUUAUGUGACCGCCAAGCCUGUAACGGGUAACGGAGGAUCAGGGUCUGACUCCGGAGAGGGAGCCUGAGAAACGGCUACCACUUCCAAGGAAGGCAGCAGGC